rnacentral:rRNA from 1 species
GGUUAAGCGACUAAGCGUACACGGUGGAUGCCCUGGCAGUCAGAGGCGAUGAAGGACGUGCUAAUCUGCGAUAAGCGUCGGUAAGGUGAUAUGAACCGUUAUAACCGGCGAUUUCCGAAUGGGGAAACCCAGUGUGUUUCGACACACUAUCAUUAACUGAAUCCAUAGGUUAAUGAGGCGAACCGGGGGAACUGAAACAUCUAAGUACCCCGAGGAAAAGAAAUCAACCGAGAUUCCCCCAGUAGCGGCGAGCGAACGGGGAGCAGCCCAGAGCCUGAAUCAGUAUGUGUGUUAGUGGAAGCGUCUGGAAAGGCGCGCGAUACAGGGUGACAGCCCCGUACACAAAAAUGCACAUACUGUGAGCUCGAUGAGUAGGGCGGGACACGUGGUAUCCUGUCUGAAUAUGGGGGGACCAUCCUCCAAGGCUAAAUACUCCUGACUGACCGAUAGUGAACCAGUACCGUGAGGGAAAGGCGAAAAGAACCCCGGCGAGGGGAGUGAAAAAGAACCUGAAACCGUGUACGUACAAGCAGUGGGAGCACAGAGCAAUCUGUGUGACUGCGUACCUUUUGUAUAAUGGGUCAGCGACUUAUAUUCUGUAGCAAGGUUAACCGAAUAGGGGAGCCGAAGGGAAACCGAGUCUUAACUGGGCGUUAAGUUGCAGGGUAUAGACCCGAAACCCGGUGAUCUAGCCAUGGGCAGGUUGAAGGUUGGGUAACACUAACUGGAGGACCGAACCGACUAAUGUUGAAAAAUUAGCGGAUGACUUGUGGCUGGGGGUGAAAGGCCAAUCAAACCGGGAGAUAGCUGGUUCUCCCCGAAAGCUAUUUAGGUAGCGCCUCGUGAAUUCAUCUCCGGGGGUAGAGCACUGUUUCGGCAAGGGGGUCAUCCCGACUUACCAACCCGAUGCAAACUGCGAAUACCGGAGAAUGUUAUCACGGGAGACACACGGCGGGUGCUAACGUCCGUCGUGAAGAGGGAAACAACCCAGACCGCCAGCUAAGGUCCCAAAGUCAUGGUUAAGUGGGAAACGAUGUGGGAAGGCCCAGACAGCCAGGAUGUUGGCUUAGAAGCAGCCAUCAUUUAAAGAAAGCGUAAUAGCUCACUGGUCGAGUCGGCCUGCGCGGAAGAUGUAACGGGGCUAAACCAUGCACCGAAGCUGCGGCAGCGACGCUUAUGCGUUGUUGGGUAGGGGAGCGUUCUGUAAGCCUGCGAAGGUGUGCUGUGAGGCAUGCUGGAGGUAUCAGAAGUGCGAAUGCUGACAUAAGUAACGAUAAAGCGGGUGAAAAGCCCGCUCGCCGGAAGACCAAGGGUUCCUGUCCAACGUUAAUCGGGGCAGGGUGAGUCGACCCCUAAGGCGAGGCCGAAAGGCGUAGUCGAUGGGAAACAGGUUAAUAUUCCUGUACUUGGUGUUACUGCGAAGGGGGGACGGAGAAGGCUAUGUUGGCCGGGCGACGGUUGUCCCGGUUUAAGCGUGUAGGCUGGUUUUCCAGGCAAAUCCGGAAAAUCAAGGCUGAGGCGUGAUGACGAGGCACUACGGUGCUGAAGCAACAAAUGCCCUGCUUCCAGGAAAAGCCUCUAAGCAUCAGGUAACAUCAAAUCGUACCCCAAACCGACACAGGUGGUCAGGUAGAGAAUACCAAGGCGCUUGAGAGAACUCGGGUGAAGGAACUAGGCAAAAUGGUGCCGUAACUUCGGGAGAAGGCACGCUGAUAUGUAGGUGAAGUCCCUCGCGGAUGGAGCUGAAAUCAGUCGAAGAUACCAGCUGGCUGCAACUGUUUAUUAAAAACACAGCACUGUGCAAACACGAAAGUGGACGUAUACGGUGUGACGCCUGCCCGGUGCCGGAAGGUUAAUUGAUGGGGUCAGCGCAAGCGAAGCUCUUGAUCGAAGCCCCGGUAAACGGCGGCCGUAACUAUAACGGUCCUAAGGUAGCGAAAUUCCUUGUCGGGUAAGUUCCGACCUGCACGAAUGGCGUAAUGAUGGCCAGGCUGUCUCCACCCGAGACUCAGUGAAAUUGAACUCGCUGUGAAGAUGCAGUGUACCCGCGGCAAGACGGAAAGACCCCGUGAACCUUUACUAUAGCUUGACACUGAACAUUGAGCCUUGAUGUGUAGGAUAGGUGGGAGGCUUUGAAGUGUGGACGCCAGUCUGCAUGGAGCCGACCUUGAAAUACCACCCUUUAAUGUUUGAUGUUCUAACGUUGACCCGUGAUCCGGGUUGCGGACAGUGUCUGGUGGGUAGUUUGACUGGGGCGGUCUCCUCCUAAAGAGUAACGGAGGAGCACGAAGGUUGGCUAAUCCUGGUCGGACAUCAGGAGGUUAGUGCAAUGGCAUAAGCCAGCUUGACUGCGAGCGUGACGGCGCGAGCAGGUGCGAAAGCAGGUCAUAGUGAUCCGGUGGUUCUGAAUGGAAGGGCCAUCGCUCAACGGAUAAAAGGUACUCCGGGGAUAACAGGCUGAUACCGCCCAAGAGUUCAUAUCGACGGCGGUGUUUGGCACCUCGAUGUCGGCUCAUCACAUCCUGGGGCUGAAGUAGGUCCCAAGGGUAUGGCUGUUCGCCAUUUAAAGUGGUACGCGAGCUGGGUUUAGAACGUCGUGAGACAGUUCGGUCCCUAUCUGCCGUGGGCGCUGGAGAAUUGAGGGGGGCUGCUCCUAGUACGAGAGGACCGGAGUGGACGCAUCACUGGUGUUCGGGUUGUCAUGCCAAUGGCACUGCCCGGUAGCUAAAUGCGGAAGAGAUAAGUGCUGAAAGCAUCUAAGCACGAAACUUGCCCCGAGAUGAGUUCUCCCUGACUCCUUGAGAGUCCUGAAGGAACGUUGAAGACGACGACGUUGAUAGGCCGGAUGUGUAAGCGCAGCGAUGCGUUGAGCUAACCGGUACUAAUGAACCGUGAGGCUUAACCUU